GAUGAACGCUGGCGGCGUGCCUAAUACAUGCAAGUCGAGCGAACAGACGAGGAGCUUGCUCCUCUGACGUUAUCGGCGGACGGGUGAGUAACACGUGGAUAACCUACCUAUAAGACUGGGAUAACUUCGGGAAACCGGAGCUAGUACCGGAUAAUAUAUUGAACCGCAUGGUUCAAUAGUGAAAGACGGUUUUGCUGUCACUUAUAGAUGGAUCCGCGCCGCAUUAGCUAGUUGGUAAGGUAACGGCUUACCAAGGCAACGAUGCGUAGCCGACCUGAGAGGGUGAUCGGCCACACUGGAACUGAGACACGGUCCAGACUCCUACGGGAGGCAGCAGUAGGGAAUCUUCCGCAAUGGGCGAAAGCCUGACGGAGCAACGCCGCGUGAGUGAUGAAGGUCUUCGGAUCGUAAAACUCUGUUAUUAGGGAAGAACAAAUGUGUAAGUAACUAUGCACGUCUUGACGGUACCUAAUCAGAAAGCCACGGCUAACUACGUG
rnacentral:rRNA from 1 species